rnacentral:rRNA from 1 species
GAUGAACGCUGGCGGCGUGCCUAAUACAUGCAAGUCGAGCGAACGGACGAGAAGCUUGCUUCUCUGAUGUUAGCGGCGGACGGGUGAGUAACGCUUGGAUAACCUACCUAUAAGACUGGGAUAACUUCGGGAAACCGUAGCUAAUACCGGAUAAUAUUUUGAACCGCAUGUUUCAAAAUUGAAAGCCGUUUUUCCUGUCACUUAUAGAUGGAUCCGCGCUGCUUUAGCUAGUUGGUAAGUUAACGGUUUACCAAGGCAAAGAUGCAUAGCCGAACUUAGAGGGUGAUCGGGCAAACUGGGAAUGAGAAACGGUCCAGACUCCUAAGGGAGGAAACAGGAGGGAAUCUUCCGCAAUGGGCGAAAGCCUGAAGGAGCAACGCCGCGGGAGUGAUGAAGGUCUUCGGAUCGUAAAACGCUGUUAUUAGGGAAGAACAUAUGUGUAAGUAACUGUGCACAUCUUGACGGUACCUAAUCAGAAAGCCACGGCUAACUACGUG